AUUUGAAAUAGUUGACUAUGAUGUUUGUGAUGUUACUCUUGCCCGGUGUGGAUGUACACUCAGAGUAACAUCACAAACAUCAUAUUCACCUGAG
rnacentral:miRNA from 1 species